rfam:Streptomyces sp. Mg1, complete genome.
UCGGCCCCGGUUCACGCAGUGCGCAAUUCGGCUCCUGCGACCCGGCGCC